AAAGUACCUGGACUUCUAUGCCCAUGCUUCUAGCAGCCAGCCUCCUAAAAUACCUCUAGUUGAAGCCAAAGUUAGAAUCCUUCUAUGAAACUACAGGAUUAAAAUGGGAUGGUUACAUGACCCAGGCUUGACCAAUCAGAUCAUCCAAACCCUUUGCCACAGUGAUUGGUCCAGGGAUACAUGCAUGAGCCAGCUCAGGCCUAAACCACACUCAUCUUGUGGAUGACACUGGAGCUGUGACAGUCUGUUCUGUCCAGGCUGGGUGUCUUUUAUUUUUACUGGAAAUAAGAUUAUCACAGUACCCAAGGCCCAAACAAUUGGUGAUAAUGAAGAAACUCUACUACCAGAUGUUGCAAGAUGCCUCAAUGACCUAAUCCAGCAAAUCACAGCUCCAGCUUCCAUGAGCACUG
rnacentral:antisense_RNA from 1 species